rnacentral:rRNA from 1 species
UACGAAGGGGGCUAGCGUUGCUCGGAAUUACUGGGCGUAAAGGGCGCGUAGGCGGACAGUUUAGUCAGAGGUGAAAGCCCAGGGCUCAACCCUGGAAUUGCCUUUGAUACUGACUGUCUUGAGUACGGGAGAGGUGUGUGGAACUCCGAGUGUAGAGGUGAAAUUCGUAGAUAUUCGGAAGAACACCAGUGGCGGAGGCGACACACUGGCCCGUUACUGACGCUGAGGCGCGAAAGCGUGGGGAGCAAACAGG